rnacentral:rRNA from 1 species
UACGAAGGUGGCAAGCGUUGUUCGGAAUGACUGGGCGUAAAGCGCGCGUAGGCGGAUCAGGAAGUUGGGGGUGAAAUCCCGGGGCUCAACCCCGGAAUGGCCUUCAAAACUCCUGGUCUUGAGUUCGAGAGAGGUGAGUGGAAUUCCGAGUGUAGAGGUGAAAUUCGUAGAUAUUCGGAGGAACACCAGUGGCGAAGGCGGCUCACUGGCUCGACACUGACGCUGAGGUGCGAAAGCGUGGGGAGCAAACAGG